AACGAACGCUGGCGGCGCGCUUAACACAUGCAAGUCGAACGAGAAGGCGUAGCAAUACGCUUGUACAGUGGCGAACGGGUGAGUAAUACGUGGGCGACCUACCCUCGAGUGGGGAAUAACCCGCCGAAAGGCGGGCUAAUGCCGCGUACGCUUCCAUCUUUAUGGAGGUAGAAGGAAAGCCGUGCCGUGGGCACGGCGCUCAAGGAUGGGCUCACGUCCUAUCAGCUUGNGGUAGGGUAACGGCCUACCAAGGCUCCGACGGGUAGCUGGUCUGAGAGGACGGAUCAGCCACACUGGCACUGCGACACGGGCCAGACUCCUACGGGAGGCAGCAGUGAGGAAUAUUGCGCAAUGGGCGAAAGCCUGACGCAGCGACGCCGCGUGGGGGA
rnacentral:rRNA from 1 species